rnacentral:rRNA from 1 species
UACGUAGGUGGCAAGCGUUAUCCGGAUUUAUUGGGCGUAAAGCGAGCGCAGGCGGUUGCUUAGGUCUGAUGUGAAAGCCUUCGGCUUAACCGAGGAAUUGCAUCGGAAACUGUGUUUCUUGAGUGCAGAAGAGGAGAGUGGAACUCCAUGUGUAGCGGUGGAAUGCGUAGAUAUAUGGAAGAACACCAGUGGCGAAGGCGGCCGCCUGGCCUGUUGCUGACGCUGAGGCACGAAAGCGUGGGGAGCAAAUAGG